AAUGAUGGAGAGAUGAGAUUAUGAUGAGACGGCAAGAAAAACAUGGGGAAUUGCCUAAAACUAAUCCUCUAUUCUUCCAAGCCUGCAACAGCUUCCCUGGAGAUUGAUGAAAUCCUAAAGGACAAUGAAUCCACUCAGAUGCUGAAACAGCCAACGCUCUGAAGAAUUCCAUGGUCUCUACUCAUCUGACUCAACUUUAACCAGGAACGCAGCUAACGAGCCCAUGAUAAACAACUGCUGAUGGCUAUUCUGUUUCCUCACAGUGUACUUGAGUUCUUUUCCAGCGUCUGCUCUGUAUCAGAGAAGUCCAGGCCUGCAAGCCGAGAAGUGUAAAAUCCACACAGAGGAGUCAUUCUUAACGAGACGCAGAGCUAGGCCAUUUCUCCCACCUCAUAGUCCUUCCAGAAUGUUCACAACUGGCAUCAGAC
rnacentral:lncRNA from 1 species